AUUGAACGCUGGCGGCAGGCCUAACACAUGCAAGUCGAACGAGUGGCGGACGGGAGGGUAAUGAAUGGGAAAGUGCCUGAUGGAGGAGGAUAACUACUGGACACGGUAGCUACUACCGCAUACCAUCGGCUAGGCCCAGAUGGGUUUAGCUUGUGGGUGGGGUAAAGGCUCACCUAGGCGACGAUCCCUAGCUGGUCUGAGAGGAUGACCAUCCACACUGGAACGGAGACACGGUCCAGACUCCUACGGGAGGCAGCAGGGGGGAAUAUUGCACAAUGGGCGAAAGCCUGAUGCAGCCAUGCCGCGUGUGUGAAGAAGGCCUUCGGGUUGUAAAGUACUUUCAGCGGGGAGGCGUUACCCGCAGAAGAAGCACCGGCUAACUCCGUGCCAGCAGCCGCGGUAAUAC
rnacentral:rRNA from 1 species